rnacentral:rRNA from 1 species
CCUACGGGCGGCUGCAGUGGGGAAUAUUGCACAAUGGGCGCAAGCCUGAUGCAGCCAUGCCGCGUGUGUGAAGAAGGCCUUCGGGUUGUAAAGCACUUUCAGCGGGGAGGGAGGCGGUGAGGUUAAUAACCUCAUCGAUUGACGUUACCCGCAGAAGAAGCACCGGCUAACUCCGUGCCAGCAGCCGCGGUAAUACGGAGGGUGCAAGCGUUAAUCGGAAUUACUGGGCGUAAAGCGCACGCAGGCGGUCUGUCAAGUCGGAUGUGAAAUCCCCGGGCUCAACCUGGGAACUGCAUUCGAAACUGGCAGGCUAGAGUCUUGUAGAGGGGGGUAGAAUUCCAGGUGUAGCGGUGAAAUGCGUAGAGAUCUGGAGGAAUACCGGUGGCGAAGGCGGCCCCCUGGACAAAGACUGACGCUCAGGUGCGAAAGCGUGGGGAGCAAACAGGAUUAGAUACCCCGGUAGUC